UGGCAAACAUUAUCCUAAUUACCUACCUCAGAUGUAAUUUCAUUAAAUUGAUUUAACGAAUCCUUCAGCACUGAUAAUAAAACUGUAUUAUUUUUUAAAAGUAGUAGCUCGCUAGCCGAAAAAACGUGUUUUAGGGCAGGUUCAGUUAGUAAUCUGGAGGGCGGCUGGCAAAUUCAAAAAGCUGCUGCUGUGGAUUUCCCACAGGAUCAUGUUGAGCAGGAAGUAGACAUGCGCUGGAACAGCACAUUUGACAUGCUCUCCAGACUUUAUGAACAAUGUGAACCAGUUGGUGCUGCACUGGUGUCCCUGAGGACAGAUUUGUAGGCUCAUUAUGAAACUGCAAACCAAAUGACCCAUUCCACUCUCCUGGAUCAACGUUUUAAAACCAUUGGGUUUUGUAAUCCAUCCACUGCCCAGAAUACCAUUAAAAGGCUCACAGCCGUGUGUUCAACAAAGGUAAGGGAAACAGCAUCUGACCCCAUACCAGAGCAUGGGGAAACCUCUACAGCAGCUGCAGACACAUCAGGGACAGGACUGUGGGACCUUCUUGAUCAACUGCCAAUGCCACCAUUGAGGUUCAGCGCUACCUGAGUGAACCCAACAUUCCCCGCUCUGAAAAUCCACUUCAGUUUUGGCACAAGCACAUUUACCCCCAUUUAUACAUGCUGGCCUUUAGCUUUUUGUGUUCUCCUGCCUCUUCUGUGCCCUGUGAAUGAGUUUUUUUAAGGCUGGCGAAGUGGUCAGCAAAAAGAGAAAUAGGCUCAGCCCCAGCACUGUGGAGAAAAUCCUGUAAAAUCAAACCACAUAAGUUACGCAUUUAAAUCACUACAAUUAAUUCCCCCAAGCCUAUAGCAACAUUAAUUUCCAUCCCACUAUGUAUGCAUUUCUUUAAGCAAUAUCACUCUCAUUUUCAUCUGUAAUUUACAUUUUAAGCAUCACUCAUUCAGGAACACUUACAAUGUCCAUUUCACAAGUUCACACUUACAAAUAAGAAGGUGUGUCUAUAGUCAUGCUGAACAGGUGGACACCUGAUUGCUGACUGCUGUUAAAGGGACACCAGGCAAGCCUGAGUGUUUUUUCUCUAUGAAGCUCCCCCUAGUGUCUGGUAGUAAAUGCUUUCAAACACACUGUCGUAAAAACGAACUGUUGUCCCUCGCCACGAGCAACCCAGCUGAUCAGCUGAUGAGACAUUUACAGAUAAUAACAAACGCAAUGAAAGUACAACCAUGCACAAAAUUAAAUAUCAAAGUGUUACUUACAAGCGCAAAAGCAAGAAUGCAAGGUCUGCAUCUGACUUGGAGCAUUCUCUGUCUUUCAGCUU